rnacentral:rRNA from 1 species
AGGGCACCCCCAGGAGUGGAGCCUGCGGCUUAAUUUGACUCAACACGGGAAAACUCCCCCGGCCCGGACACCGUAAGGAUUGACAGAUUGAUAGCUUUUUCUUAAUUCGGGGGGGGGUGGGGCAUGGCCGUUCUUAGUUGGGGGAGCGAUUUGUCUGGUUAAUUCCGAUAACGAACGAGACUCUGGCCUAUUAAAUAGACGGUGUAUUUUGAAGUAUACCGCGCUUCUUAGAGGGACAAGCGGCGUCUAGCCGCAUGAAAUAGAUUUUUUAACAGGUCUGUGAUGCCCUUAGAUGUCCGGGGCUGCACGCGCGCUACACUGAAAGAAUCAGCGGGCGAUAGCCCUUCUGCGGAAGAAUCGGGUAACCCAAGAAAAUUCUUUCGUGCUUGGGAUAGGGAAUUGCAAUUAUUUCCCUUAAACGAGGAAUUCCCAGUAAAUUCGGGUCAUAAGCUCGAGUUGAUUACGUCCCUGCCCUUUGUACACACCGCCCGUCGCUACUACCGAUUGGAUGACUUAGUG